AUAAUCAAAAGCGAUGUUCCAAAUUAACAUACAUUUUCAUAAUUUUUAAUGAUUUUUGUGAGCGUACAGUAAAGAAAUGGCAAGCACAUGUAUCAACUCCAUCCUCGACAUUAUCAUGUGCCCAACAACAAGAUGUGAAAUGUUGCCCAUGAAUAUUAGAAACCAGCGGUGUAUCAGCCAUCCUUUUAUAAAAAUAUUUGAGCGACUCCUCCAGAUAUUGCUCAUGUUCGGGGAAAAUUUGAUGUUUAAACAUUUUCAUGAAAUUAUUUAUUUUUAUUACAAGUUGUUGAAUGCUAUUACUGGUUGAGAUGAUGUCUUUGUUUUUUAGUGUUAGCAUUUUGAUGGAUCCGUGUACGUCUACUUGCAAUGAAUUCAAAAAUUUAAAUGAAGUAAUCCUUUCCAAAUUGUUAGACGAUACGCUGAACCAAUCCAGUUAGUGGCGAGUAUUCAACUAGUCGAUCAUGGAUGAGAAGGCAAUAUGCCUUUGCAAUUAUCUCACUCGCAACAGUUAGUUCAGUGGAAAUUUUUAUAUCAGUCGCUCCUGAUUUGACACUCUCGUUCUGGUAUGAGAGAUCAACAACCACAAUAGGAGCCUUCGACAUGAAUUUCAUCGGAGAUAAAAGAGCUCGGGGUUCUCGAUUGUAAUAGCUCUCUUGAAAUUUUGUAUACAUGUCAUACAAGACAGCAAACCGGUUCUCAUUAUAUUUAACAUUCAAAUCCUCAUAGGGAUAUACUUCAGAAUUAAGAUAUACCUUUGCAUUUCUCAAAUUGUUUGUAAUUAGUUCUCCAUUUAAUGUAAAUGCAAUAACAGCAAAACGUGGACGUUCUCUAUUUGCAGACAUCUUGACAUUCCAUAUAUGAUGUGUUCCCUGAACCAAUGUCGGAUUUAUAUAACAAUCCCAACUCCGGAAUGCGAGUGGGAGGCUAGCUCCACUCUUUACUAAAUUAAACAUUUUAAUUUUAGCACUGUCACUUGGAACGAUGUGGGGGAUCUUCCAACUUAUACUAUUUAUAGCAAUAUUAUGGAUUUUUCCAUCAACAUUUUUCACAAACAUAUCAUCAGGGUUUUUCUCUUCAGCGAACCCCAUCAACAUUUUUAAAGGUACAGAAAAACUGAAAUGUUCUCCAGAAGGGAUAUUGUCCCCGCCACUCCACCCCGCAUUGCGAUAAGCCGCUCCUUCCUGUUGGCCGACUGAGAGAAAGUUCUUAAUAGUCGUUGUUAUUCCUAAAAUAGGCCAUACAAUUAUUUUUGAGCAAACCGCUAACGCCAUUUGUACUAGUCGUUCCUGUAUUUGAGUCAAUAAUUCUGCUAAGCGUUCCUUCAAAAUGGAGAAAACUUUCACAUGGAAGGACAUACAAAUCUUGGUUUUGCAAACUGAUCCGUAC